AUUGAACGCUGGCGGCAGGCCUAACACAUGCAAGUCGAGCGGAUGAAGGGAGCUUGCUCCUGGAUUCAGCGGCGGACGGGUGAGUAAUGCCUAGGAAUCUGCCUGGUAGUGGGGGAUAACGUCCGGAAACGGGCGCUAAUACCGCAUACGUCCUGAGGGAGAAAGUGGGGGAGCUUCGGACCUCACGCUAUCAGAUGAGCCUAGGUCGGAUUAGCUAGUUGGUGGGGUAAAGGCCUACCAAGGCGACGAUCCGUAACUGGUCUGAGAGGAUGAUCAGUCACACUGGAACUGAGACAGGGUCCAGGCUACUGAGGGAGGGAGCAGUGGGGAAUGUUGGACAAUGGGCGAAAGCCUGAUCCAGCCAGGGCGCGUGUGUGAAGAAGGUCUUCGGAUUGUAAAGCACUUUAAGUUGGGAGGAAGGGCAGUAAGUUAAUACCUUGCUGUUUUGACGUUACCAACAGAAUAAGCACCGGCUAACUUCGUG
rnacentral:rRNA from 1 species